rnacentral:lncRNA from 1 species
AUCACAUCAGUGCUUUCUGUUAACACUCUUUUUUGUGAGUGUGCAGUGGAGUAUUUUGGUUGUUUAUGAACAAAUCCUUCACGGUUCUUUCGAUGGGACUUUGGUCAUUUUUAAUUAUUGCUGGACUUUUUUAUUUUUUAUUAUUUCCAGAUAAAAUUACAAGUUCACUGAAUUGGUUCCAUGAUAUUAGGUUUCCUCCAACAAGAACACAGUAUCCUUAAGUGGAUCUUGUGUCUAAGGGUGACCUUUCCCAGUCAACAUCAGAGUAAUGAAUGAUCUUUGCAUUGCCUUUGUCCUCAUGUAAUAAUCAUUUACCUAGUACAUAAUAUAUUUUGCCUCCCUAAAAUACUUUGUUGUUUAUUCGUGUUUAGACUUUUUAAAUUGAAGUUGUAUGCACAUAAUACAUAUAUCUGGUC